rnacentral:lncRNA from 1 species
CCGCUCAAUAGUUUAAAUGGUCUCCUCAUCGUAACACUUGUUGCCAGUCCAGUCGUCCAACAUGAAGCUAAUAUAUUUGUUUUCGAUUUUAUCGAUUCACAGCUGCUAUUUGCUGCAAAGAGCACACACCCUCCCUAUGCCUGCUCCUCAAUUCUUGGAAGAAAACAUUUGUGGGCUUCCGUUAGAGCCGGAACGAUGUUUGUGUAAAACGCAAGAUGACGUUUCAGAAUGCGAAUAUUUUUCGUGAAAGAGCAGUAAUGUGAGUGAAUAAAGCGCCCCCAAUCGCAUUAUUUUUGCCUUUGGUAGAACAAAAUAAUUUUUCAUGGAGAUUUGAUUCGCAUUAUUAAAAUGCUCAGCCAUCAAUGGCAGCCAUCAAUCAGAUUGGUUCGAAUAUUCGGAAUGGACCUUCGGGAAAAUCGCGUCAUACUUUGUUUCAUUCUGUUUUCCAGUUAUUUUGGGCUGAUUGAACCACAUAUUGAUUCAAACAAACAUCCCGAGAUGGUAUGCAAUCCGAAAGUUGUUUUCAAAGAUGAAUGUGGUAAUAUUUGCGUUUGUAAUCCACGGAGUGUCGCUCUAUGUGACGAUAAAGUUAUGAAGAGAUGUGGCUAAUGAUCGGUGACUAAGGCAAUCAACAUACUUUUCAAUUCAAAUCAAAUAUACGGGAAUUCACAUGCUGCCGCUGAUUCGAACAAACUAGUGUCAACCUCAGUGAAAACAACUCUAAACCUUCUCAUUAAUAAAGAAAUACAACAGCAAAACUUUCCGCUACAA